rnacentral:rRNA from 1 species
UGGGGAAUAUUGGACAAUGGGGGAAACCCUGAUCCAGCAAUGCCGCGUGGGUGAUGAAGGCCUUCGGGUUGUAAAGCCCUUUCGGCGGGGACGAUGAUGACGGUACCCGCAGAAGAAGCCCCGGCUAACUUCGUGCCAGCAGCCGCGGUAAUACGAAGGGGGCUAGCGUUGUUCGGAAUUACUGGGCGUAAAGGGCGCGUAGGCGGCUUGUCUAGUCGGGCGUGAAAAGCCUGGGCUUAACCCGGGAACUGCGCUCGAUACUGAUAGGCUUGAGUGUGGGAGAGGAUGGUGGAAUUCCCAGUGUAGAGGUGAAAUUCGUAGAUAUUGGGAAGAACACCGGUGGCGAAGGCGGCCAUCUGGACCACAACUGACGCUGAGGCGCGAAAGCGUGGGGAGCAAACAGG